UUCGACCUGAGCUCAGGCAAGACUACCCGCUGAACUUAAGCAUAUCAAUAAGCGGAGGAAAAGAAACUAACUAGGAUGCCCUUAGUAACGGCGAGCGAACCGGGCAGAGCCCAACUUGAAAAUCUCCAGCCUUCGGCUGGCGA
rnacentral:rRNA from 1 species